UUCUUCUGCAAUUUUGAGACAAUUAGAUCAUUUGAUUUAAGCAACACAAUAAUCAAUAAUGAAGCUAAAUAAGGGUUAUAUAUAGCUUAUGGUGAUUUGUUAUGUUCAGACAAAGGAACGAAACUGUACGCAACUGUUUGGGUAAAAGAAUCUCAUUGGAAACAAAAGGAUUAUAGUGAUAAAAGGAUAGAAUGCUAAUAAUAUAUAUAAAAUCCGAUUGGUUCAAAAGGAAAAUAAAAUUGUGAGGAUGACUGACCUUUACAAGGGGCGGAGAGUCAGAUUCUGGCGGUUCGUGAGAGAAGAUGGGAGAGGAAGAUGCGAAUACUCUGGUCGGGAUUUGACUUGGAAUUGAAGUAGAGCACGAAAUCGACGACGGUGGAGAAGAGGGUUUGAGCUUCGUUGAUGGCGAGAUAUUAGCUACUACAGGUUUCACAGAGAAUUUCUGAGAGGCUGUUCUGAUUCCGAAAGAUGCAUGAAGAUUCGACUGAGCCGCCAUUUUCCGCUGCGUUUGAA